UGGCGCCAAGGAGAUGAAAUGGCGGCUGUCGGCGCUGCCGUGGGGUUGCGGGAACUUUCCCAGUGAGUAGUUGGUAUCAACAGCUGGACGCAAAAUGUAGUGACUGACAGGAGCUUCAAACGGAAUGAGCGAGCGGGGUGAUGAUCCCUGUGCCCAGUCACAAUCCAAUGACCUUUGCUGGAAAGCAUACUUGAAUUGGGCUCAGCUGUAAUGUUGUUCACACUGCUUACUGUCACUAAGUGACUGUGUUCCAACUGUAAAUCUACACUGGAAGGCAUCCCAAUCCCAGGAACCCCUCUACAGUAAUUCUGACCUCAGUAUUUGCUGCCACACAAUGGAUUCUUUCUGCUCUCCAGUGGCUUUGCAUAUCCAACAGCUGAGGAUGAACAGGAGAACUGGCUGUUUGGAAGCUUGUUGUAGCCACGGGUUGUUUUGUCAUCCACUCCUUUAUUGAAGUCUUAAGUUCUGCUUAAUUUUUCUCCACUGUAAUGAAGCCAAACUCAGUAAGUUAGUGGUAUGGAGAAAUAAAAUGUUGUUGUGCAUAGAUGCCCCAUCACACUGUUAAACACCAUUUGGUUCCAUGCAUAUCCGCCCAACCCUGCAAUGGACACCAAAACUUGUGCACAAUCUCUUUGGAUGUGGGAAUUGUGGCGCAGUCAUAUGUAUACGGACACUGCAAAGGUGGGAGGGACUUAAUGUGGUAAAGUGAUGUUGUAUUUUUAUAUAAUGUAUUCAUCUGUAUAUAAGCUGGCUUAUAAAGGAUAUGUAAUAACUUCAGUAUUAAAACUAUGAUGAAUGCCAGUUUCUUGUGCACAACUUAA